UAAUAUAAAUCUCAUUUUCUUCAGCUGUCACUUUCGUAAAUAGAGUUGAAUUUCGUCAAGUGAGUGACCAAGUCCUCGAGCAGCAGCUCCGAGGUCGUCCUCGAGCAGCAGCUCCGAGGUCGUCCUCGAGCCAAGAUUAU